rnacentral:lncRNA from 1 species
GCAAUCUGACCCUGCUCUUCAGAAACUGCUUAGUCAAAGCUUGUCUCCCAGCCUGGUCAGCUGCUUUCAGGUCAUUUUUUUUUUUUUUUUUUUUUUUUUAGUCUUCUACACCAACAGUCUGUGCUGAUUCAGGCUCUGUAUGUCCUAAACAGGAUCUCCAUUUAGUGGCACCACUCUCAACCUAGUAAUUCAAGCCAAAAAGCUGGGAGCCAGCUGUUACAUAUCCCCUGACAUGGAACUUGCCCAGUUUUACCAGGGAAACCCUGACUGAGUCUCUUCCACAUCAACAACUGCAAAGGCCCUAGGGCAUCUUGUUGGGUCUUCCUGUCUCCUCCACACUACAAAGAUGGGUUACAGAAGCAUCUGCAUCCUUCCAGGGUCUUCUUCAAGUACACGAGCCUACUCUUCUGUAUGACUUCCUGUUCCAUGAUCUUCAUUUUUUCUUCCUGAAAGAAGAGAAUAUGGAAUUGUUACACUCAACGGACUGCAACAAAAAGCUGAUCCAUCUCUCUUAUCCAUCAUGGAAGGGAAAAGAGAAAACUGAAACUGGUUAUUACACAAAAUCAAGUUCACUAUUGUAAAAUAAAGAGUGUUUUCUAUCAUUUGCUCUCUUUCCUUCAAAAGUAAUAAAUAUUAUUUUCCUUUUAUGCAACUAUAUCA